AUAUGAAACGAUUACAAUAAGAAAGAAAAGAAAUGUAUAUUUUUUAAAAAAGGAUUUUUAAUAUUUUUAAAUAUCCAAUUUUAAAAAUAUACAUUUCUUUUCUUUUUUUUUAAUGUACUUUUUUUAUAAAAUAGUAAAAAUAUUUAAAAUAUUAUUAUUACUUUUUAUAAAAAAAGUACAUUAGAAAAUUUGAUAUUACAUAAAAUUAUUUUUUUUAUAAAGAUAAUUUUUGUGUAGUAUCAAAUUUUCAUCAACAAUAUUCAAUUCUCAAUAUUUUGCAUAAUUGUUUGUUUUAUAUAUUAUAUAUUAUAUACAUAUAUAUAAUAUUUUUGUAUGUUAAUUAUAUAUUGAAGAAAAGUAUAUUUAAAAUAUAAUAUUUAUAAUUACAUUUAAUUCUUAAGUAUAAUAAUUAAUAGCA